CAAGUCGAACGCGAAAGGGUAGCAAUACCCAAGUAGAGUGGCGAACGGGUGAGUAAUGUGUGGGUAAUUUGCCUUUCAGUGGGGGAUAACCCGGCGAAAGCUGAGCUAAUACCCCAUAACAUUGCAGAGUCUUCGGACUUCGUAAUCAAACGAUGGCCUCUAUUUAUAAGCUAUCGCUGAAAGAUGAGCUCACAUCCUAUCACGCUUGUUGGUGAGGUAAUGGCUCACCAAGGCGACGACGGGUAGCCGGCCUGAGAGGGUGUCCGGCCACACUGGAACUGAGACACGGUCCAGACUCCUACGGGAGGCAGCAGUGGGGAAUUUUUCGCAAUGGGCGAAAGCCUGACGAAGCAACGCCGCGUGGAGGAUGAAGGCCCUAGUGGUCGUAAACUCAUGUCUAGCGGGACAAAAGUAUCUGGGGUAAAUAAUCCCAGGUAUUGACUGUACUGCUGGAGGAAGCUCCGGCCAACUCCGUGCCAGCAGCCGCGGUAAUACGGAGGGAGCAAGCGUUACUCGGAAUUAUUGGGCGUAAAGGGCGCGUAGGCGAUCUGCCAAGUCCUGUGUGAAAGCCCAGAGCUUAACUCUGGAAGUGCACAGGAGACUGGCUGGAUUUGAGUUCAGGAGAGGAAAGCAGAAUUCCCGGUGUAGCGGUGAAAUGCGUAGAGAUCGGGAGGAAUACCAGUGGCGAAGGCGGCUUUCUGGACUGACACUGACGCUGAGGCGCGAAAGCCAGGGGAGCAAACGGGAUUAGAUACCCCGGUAGUCCUGGCUGUAAACGAUGUGCACUUGGUGUGAGCCGGUUUUCGGUUCGUGCCGAA
rnacentral:rRNA from 1 species